rnacentral:rRNA from 1 species
UCCAGACUCCUACGGGAGGCAGCAGUGGGGAAUAUUGCACAAUGGGGGGAACCCUGAUGCAGCGACGCCGCGUGGGUGAAGGAGCACCUCGGUGCGUAAAGCCCUAUCGGCAGGGGAGAAACAGACGGUACCUGACUAAGAAGCCCCGGCUAACUACGUGCCAGCAGCCGCGGGAAUACGUAGGGGGCAAGCGUUAUCCGGAUUCACUGGGUGUAAAGGGAGCGUAGACGGCGACGCAAGUCUGGAGUGAAAGCCCGGGGCCCAACCCCGGGACUGCUCUUGGAACUGCGUGGCUGGAGUGCAGGAGUGGCAGGCGGAAUUCCUGGUGUAGCGGUGAAAUGCGUAGAUAUUAGGAGAAACACCAGUUGCGAAGGCGGCUCUCUGGACUGUAACUGACACUGAGGCACGAAAGCGUGGGGAGCAAACAGGAUUAGAUACCCUCGUAUU